GCAAUGCCGCGUGAGUGAAGAAGGCCUAUCGGGUUGUAAAGCUCUUUUGUCAGGGAAGAAAAGGCUCGCGGCUAAUAUCUGCGGCUCAUGACGGUACCUGAAGAAUAAGCACCGGCUAACUACGUGCCAGCAGCCGCGGUAAUACGUAGGGUGCAAGCGUUAAUCGGAAUUACUGGGCGUAAAGCGUGCGCAGGCGGUUUUGUAAGACUGUCGUGAAAUCCCCGGGCUCAACCUGGGAAUGGCGAUGGUGACUGCAAGGCUAGAGUUUGGCAGAGGGGGGUAGAAUUCCACGUGUAGCAGUGAAAUGCGUAGAUAUGUGGAGGAACACCGAUGGCGAAGGCAGCCCCCUGGGUCAAAACUGACGCUCAUGCACGAAAGCGUGGGGAGCAAACAGGAUUAGAUACCCUGGUAGUCCACGCCCUAAACGAUGUCUACUAGUUGUCGGGUCUUAAUUGACUUGGUAACGCAGCUAACGCGUGAAGUAGACCGCCUGGGGAGUACGGUCGCAAGAUUAAAACUCAAAGGAAUUGACGGGGACCCGCACAAGCGGUGGAUGAUGUGGAUUAAUUCGAUGCAACGCGAAAAACCUUACCUACCCUUGACAUGGAUGGAACCUCUGAGAGA
rnacentral:rRNA from 1 species